rnacentral:lncRNA from 1 species
CCACACAAGCAGUGUACUCCGGAGUUGUCACACGAUAGGGAUAACCUUUUUGGGUCCCGAGGGGUUAGCCUUUUUGGGCCCCGCAGACAGUCUUGGGCGAGUGAGCUGAUCCUCCCCAUGUGAGUCAGGUGAGUGAGCUGAUCCUCACCUGUGAGAUUCAGAUUGGGUUGUGGUAUUUGUGUCAGUCGGGCUAGUGAGCGGAUCCUCCCCGAAGUGUUAGAUUGUGAGUCGGGCGAGUGAGCGGAUCCUCCCCGAAGUGUUUAGAUAGCGAGUCGGGCGAGUGAGCGGAUCCUCCCCGGUAUGUUAGAUUGUGAGUUGGGUGAGUGAGCGGAUCCUCACCUGUGUGAUUAAGUAAGUAUGGCAUUUCAUUAUUGUUGAAGCAUCAUGUAGUAGAAUUGUAGUUAUUUACUAUGAUUAAAGUUAUGCAUGCAUUAUUGCAGAUUGAGGCAUAGUUAGAUGUUCAUUUUAUACUCCUAACUGUUUAUUAUAAAUGCUUUCAAUUCAGCACAACUAUCUAUCUAUUUGCAUUAUCUCUCUAUGCCUGCUUAGACCUAGCGGGGAGAUCGGCGGAGUCGGCGGCCGAACCCACUGGGAACUAUUCGUAGUUCUCACCCCGUGUGGUUUUGGGGUACAGGUCCGAGUACUAGCGCACCGGUCGAGGAUCGUGGCAAGGGCUUAGCGCCCUAGAGGUUGUAGUAGUAGCUUUCUUACUCCUAUGCAUUAGUAGUACCCUAUUUCUAUUUUGAGAGUAGAUGAUGUAUAGGGUGUGAGGUGUUUUGGAUGAUGUAAACUUAAUGUUUAAUAUUUUGGAAGUUAAAUGUAAUCAAAUGUAUUAAGUUGAAUGGAUGUAAUAGAUUAGUACCUCUCUUUUAUUCACUUGUAUGUUGGUUACUCGUGAUGCUUGCUC